rnacentral:misc_RNA from 1 species
AAUUCUCAACCUUAUCAGUUUAUUUCUGAUAGUGGCUUGGAUGUGGGGUUGCUGGCUUGGUCAGCUCCCCUUAAAUGCAUUAGCUGGUGCCCUGUGUACUUGGUGUGAUAAUUAUCUACGCCAUGGAUUAGCACUGCUUCUAACCGUCUGUUAAUUCGGACAAUAGAUGACA